GAUGAACGCUGGCGGCGUGCCUAACACAUGCAAGUCGAGCGAACAGACGAGGAGCUUGCUCCUCUGACGUUAGCGGCGGACGGGUGAGUAACACGUGGAUAACCUACCUAUAAGACUGGGAUAACUUCGGGAAACCGGAGCUAAUACCGGAUAAUAUAUUGAACCGCAUGGUUCAAUAGUGAAAGACGGUUUUGCUGUCACUUAUAGAUGGAUCCGCGCCGCAUUAGCUAGUUGGUAAGGUAACGGCUUACCAAGGCAAUGAUGCGUAGCCGACCUGAGAGGGUGAUCGGCCACACUGGAACUGAGACACGGUCCAGACUCCUACGGGAGGCAGCAGUAGGGAAUCUUCCGCAAUGGGCGAAAGCUUGACGGAGCAACGCCGCGUGAGUGAUGAAGGUCUUCGGAUCGUAAAACUCUGUUAUUAGGGAAGAACAAAUGUGUAAGUAACUAUGCACGUCUUGACGGUACCUAAUCAGAAAGCCACGGCUAACUACGUG
rnacentral:rRNA from 1 species